GGAGUGUGGCACUUUCAAGAGCCUCAGAGUCAAUAUGGCGGAUGCGUUGGGAGGGAGAGAAGAGAUGCCGAGCCCCUGGGGACCAGCUCCCGAGUGGCUGCUUCUGCCUUGCCAGCCUUAAACAUCUGGGGGCCCUGUACAAGAUGCUAGAGAUAUGAAGAAGACCGGAACAUUCCCUUCCUUCAAAUUAUUCUGAGUCCAGUGGAGGAGACAGAAACUGAGAUCUGAAGAGAGCCUGGGAGUUAAUUAAGUGACGGACUCUUGGGGCGCCUGGGUGGCUCGGUUGUUAAGCAUCUGCCUUUGGCUCAGGUCAUGAUCCCAGAGCCCUGGGAUUGAGCCCCUCAUCAGCUUGCUUCUCCCCUCCCACUCCCCAGCUUGUGUUCCCUCUCUUGCUGUGUCUCUCUCUGUCAAAUAAAUAAAUAAAACCUUAAAAGAAGAA
rnacentral:lncRNA from 1 species